UACGUAGGGGGCAAGCGUUGUCCGGAAUCAUUGGGCGUAAAGUGCGCGUAGGCGGCCCGGUAAGUCCGCUGUAAAAGUCCAGGGCUCAACCCUGGAAAGCCGGUGGAUACUGUCGGGCUCGAGUCCGGAAGAGGCGAGUGGAAUUCCUGGUGUAGCGGUGGAAUGCGCAGAUAUCAGGAGGAACACCGAUGGCGAAGGCAGCUCGCUGGGACGGUACUGACGCUGAGGCGCGAAAGCGUGGGGAGCGAACAGG
rnacentral:rRNA from 1 species